rnacentral:lncRNA from 1 species
UGCUGGGGGUUGUGUGCCCCCAAUUUGACCCCCGCACCCCCGCCUGGGACCACGUGGCCAUCACGACGGAGGGGGCGACCCGUGCCCUCGUGGAGCUCUUCCAGGAGGAGUCUGCCUCGUAUGUCCACCGCCGGGGCAUGACGCUGACGGAGGCCUACCAGGCCUACAGCGGCGACCAGGCCUGCCCCCGUCGACUGCUGCUCGCCUUGCAGGACAUCACCGACGCCGCCACCGCCACCCACGAGGGGGACAUGGGGGCCACACCCAUGUACAACUUCAACAACGAGCAGUUCUUAGCGGCGCAGGCGGUGCUGGAGGC